rnacentral:misc_RNA from 1 species
GUUUUUGUCGUCGAGUCAAAGUGCGCGGAUCGCUCGAGGAGUGAGCUGAAUUCGAAUUCCUGCCGAAUUGAAUUAACUAUUUGUUAAGUGCAAGUUUAGGUGUUAGUUGUUGUCGUUGUUGCCGUUAAGCCGAGUUCGUAAGCAGGUGCAAAGGUGCCGAAGUGAGCUAAUAAGAAAACAAGUCCGUCAGUUUCAGUUGGAAAGCGAAGUCAAGAAGAUGGGAAAGUUCGAAUACUCACUGGGUCUCAAUGAGCUCAAAUCCAAGGAGCAGCGAUUGUGGCAGGCCCUGAUUGGAGAGUUCCUGGGCAAUCUGAUCCUCAACUUCUUUGCCUGCGGUGCAUGCACCCAAGUUGAGGAUGGCACCUUCAAGGCCCUGGCCUUUGGCCUGGCCAUCUUCAUGGCCAUCACGAUUGUGGGCCACUUGAGUGGCGGUCAUGUGAAUCCUGCCGUCACCGCUGGAAUGUUGGUCGCAGGGCGAAUCAGCUUGAUCAGGGCUAUUUUCUAUGUGGUUUUCCAGUGCUUGGGUGCCAUUGCUGGUACUGCAGCGGUUAAGAUUCUCAUCGAUCAGGACUACUACAAUGGCCUGGGCCACACCUCCCUGGCGACCAAUAUCAGCGAGCUGCAGGGCCUGGGAAUCGAGUUCUUCCUGGGACUCCUGCUGGUGCUCGUCGUCUUCGGGGCCUGUGAUCCCCAUAAGCCGGACUCCCGCUACACGGCGCCCCUGGCCAUCGGCAUGGCUGUGACCCUGGGCCACUUGGGCACCAUCCGCUACACUGGGGCCAGCAUGAAUCCCGCCCGCACCGUGGGCACCGCCUUUGCCACCGACAACUGGACGUCGCAUUGGGUGUACUGGGUGGGACCUGUGCUGGGGGGCGUGGCAGCCGCCCUGCUCUACACCCAGGUCCUGGAGGCGAAGCCCGUGCCGAAGGCGAACGAGGCAUCCGAGAAGUACCGAACGCACGCCGAUGAACGCGAGGUGAGAGUCAGGUUGAUAAGCGCCUGGAGCGAGGAGUCCUUCUACUGAUCAGUGAUCCCACCCACCCAUUACACACACACACACACCCAUCACACACCACACACACACAAACACCCAUCACAACACUCACUCAGACUUGCAUUAUGCGCAAACUGGAGGGAGCCCGCGACUACGCCUAGAGAUAAGGAAACCUAUGCAACUCGAAUCUAGGGAUAGAGAUGAGAUCCGUUUGUCUAAUCCAUUCAUUUCAGUGUCUAACACACCCAUGUCGUGUUCUUCUGCGUUCGUGUGUAUUUAUGUAUUUAUUCAUGCAAAGUUCAUUUUCAACUAACUAAUAUUUAAUGUGUAAGCUGCCCUAAAAUGCAAUCUACAACAAAAUUACUUGUACUCUCAUGCGUUCACAAUAAAGUUGAAAACAUUAACUGAAA